AUUGAACGCUGGCGGCAUGCCUUACACAUGCAAGUCGAACGGCAGCACGGGAGCAAUCCUGGUGGCGAGUGGGCGAACGGGGUGAGUAAUAUAUCGGAACGUGCCCGGUCGUGGGGGAUAACGUAGCGAAAGCUACGCUAAUACGCAUACGAUCUACGGGAUGAAAGCGGGGGGAUCGCAAGACCUCGCGCGAUUGGAGCGGCCGAUAUCAGAUUAGGAGUUGGUGNGGUAAAGGCUCACCAAGCCGACGAUCUGUAGCUGGUCUGAGAGGACGACC
rnacentral:rRNA from 1 species